GUAUAGUUCAGUGGUAAAGCAUUUGACUAGCAGACAUGAAACCCUGGGUUCAAUUCCCAGUAC
rnacentral:tRNA from 1 species